AAUAUAUUUUCUACUUCAUUGCUGCAAGGUAAGCAAAGAUUCCUAUCUGGUGAUCCAGGUCAAAAGUGCCCAUUUGUGGAGAGUAGGUGGCGGAGUCUAUGAAAGAGAAAGUAAGAAAAGAGCAACAUCUAAGGGAAGGGCACUAUAUGCACUGCACAGAUUCCCAUAUGGGCACCAACUAGGGUUCAAGUCAGGACAGUGGUGGCCCACCCCAACAGUGUAUUCAACCGCACGUGUAGUGGAUUAAAUUCUUCCCAUUUUGUGUUGCAGAAGAACAUGCAUGCCUUUUAUUUGCUUCUUAAAUGGCUCCUCCUCCCAUGUGAGCUAUUUGUAUAAAAGUAUAUUUUUCCCAAGUGGCCCGUGAUUAGAUUAGCCUUGUAUGUUUAAAACAUAAUCUAACACAAAAUUACAUGAUUUAAACAAUUGUAUUUCUUUUGGCCUUUGUGAUUAAUAAAUAAUUGCGUGAUUCUGUGAUUUGAUAAUUACCACCAA